CGUCCGGUAGAUUUCCCGAAGAAUAGAAGAAAAAUCCUUCGGUCACCUCCAGAAAAGUACGACAUAAGUGUGCCCAGGACAUGCACUAACGCUGUAUCCCUGUGUUGCCCUGUGAGAUGCAAGACCAGUAGGAUCUUGGUGAAACGGAGGACGAGGAAGAGAAGAACCAGUGGAAUGAUAACGAAGGGUGUGGAAGAAACAGAGUGGACUGGGAUGAUAUCAGGUUUGAGUUUAAACAAUGUGGGUCUGACUGUUUCGUAAACCUUGUUCAGAGAGGAUGUCCCUCUAUGUUCCGAUGCGUAUCUUAGGACCUUCAUCGCAAAAUGGCACGUAUUUCCCAGGAUUGAAUUUCUGAGACAACACGAGCAACCUUCGAACGAUGGGACACUUCAAGGGAUGCCUCCAAAGAAGACGUACAGGAACCCCAACGACGUCGAUAUAGACGUGAUUCAUGCCGCAUUGGAGGAAGCCAUUCGAGCUUCUCCUUUAGCUGCGCAGAGAAGUGUUCCUCGACCAUCCCAAGAAAAUGUGGCGCCUGAUCUGACCAGUAACGUCCGAUUAUUCGACGGAACACCAGGGGAAAAUGUUCAGGAUUAGUUAUAAGAAAUUCGACGAAUCGCAAACCUCGCACAGUGAAAUGACGAACUUUAUUCUUCUGUUGUAAGUGGGCUAUCGACGUUUCAGGAAAUUAUGACCACCUUCAACACACCGCCCAAAUCUUCGAGAAAUCUGCCAGGCACAGCUUGAUCAUCAAGCCCAGCAUCUCACUUUUGUAGGAAACCGUUGCAAUAUCUGAGCCAUAUCCUCUCAACAGAUUAGAUUAGUGCCCAGAACGAGAAAGUUAAGCCGAGAAAGUUUGAUUACCGUGUAUCAAGCUCCGCGAAGUACCAAAACUAGUUUGUUUUCAGGGGAUGAGUGGUUGGUACCAACGAUUCAUACACAAUCACGCUGAGGUGACGCUAAACGAUUUGAAUAAAAAUGGAGUUGGAUGGA